rnacentral:lncRNA from 1 species
AGGUAAGAUGGUCUGGUAUUCCCAUCUUUUUAAGAGUUUUCCACAUUUUCUGUGAUCUACACAAAGGCUUUGGCAUAGUCAAUAUAGCAGAAGUAGACGUCCUUCUGGAACUCUCUUGCUUUUUCAAUGUUCCAAUGGAUGUUGGCAAUUUGAUCUCUUGUUUCUCUGCCUUUUCUAAAUCCAGGUUGAACAUCUGGAAGUUCUCAGUUCACAUACUGUUGAAGCCUGGCUUGGAGAAUUUGAAGAGUUACUUUGCUAGCGUGUGAGAUGAGUGCAAUUGUGCAGUAGUUUGAACAUUCUUUGGCAUUGCCUUUCUUUGGGAUUGGAAUGAAAACUGACCUUUUCCAGUCCUGUGGCCACUGCUGAGUUUUCCAAAUUUGCUGGCAUAUUGAGUGCAGCCUCUUUGUCUUAACUGAAUGUAUUAAUAACAUCACUUUACCUUGUAUUUCCUCAGUACUUGGCUCAAGGUACCAGCUAAAGGAAGAUAUUUAAUUAAUUAGCACAAAAGAAGUAUGAUCACUUGCUGCAUUUUUCUCAUCUGGGCCUCUCCUGUCAAGCUCAAUGAGAAUAGAUAUCUAAUUCAUCUUUGGAUAUUUGGUUGCCACCAAAUAAUACAAGAUAAACUGAAGAAACUCAAAUAUUUGGUUCCUCCCUGCGGCAUGUUAGUUCCCUGACCAGGGAUCAAACCUGCGCCUCUUGCAGUGGAAACAAGGAAUCAAUCGCUGAAACACCAAGAAAGUUCCCUAGUUCUAAAAUACUGUUGCAAAGCUGAACCUCUUCCGAGCAGCCUCUCAGAAGAGCAUUCAGGGCUCUUUUAGAUUCUGACUCCAAAUUCCCUUCCCUGCUUAACACCUAAGGGGCCCUCUACCCUCUGAUCAAGGCACCCUAAAUUAUAUGGGCAGACUUCAGGGCUUUACUCAUACAACUUCUGCCUGGAAGGCCUGCCUCACCAUUCCUUCUCCAGUGUUCCUAGAGAAUGUCAUAUCCAAUGUUUCUUCAAAUGUCACAUCCUCUUUUUGAAUGGGUAAUUUCCUCCUCUAUGUUCUCAUGUCACCUUAGAGCAUAAGUUACAGCGUAAGUGCCAGAAGCAAGUUACAAGUAAUGGUUGUGUUCUCCCACUCCCAACAUCUCAAGCAGGAAAAUACCUGACUGAUCUUUGUGACAUUGUAUAGAAGUUGACCCAAUGAACAGUAAAUUGUAUUUGCCAAGAUGAGAGCCUAAAUUUAGAAUAACCCCUGAACCCUUGUGGCUCAGCUGGUGAAGAUUCCCCCUCAGUGCGGAAGACCUGGGUUCGAUCCCUGCAUUGGGAAGAUUCCUCUGGAGAACGGAAAGGCUACCCACUCCAGUAUUCUGGCCUGGAAAAUUCCAUGGACUGUAUAGUCCAUGGGGUCGCAAAGAGUUAAACAUGACUGAGUGACUUGCACUUCGCUUCAUCCCACCUGAAACUUUAAAAGAUAACUAAAAACAAAUAAAAACAAGCUGCAAAAAUAGAGAAAGAUAACUGAGUUAAAUUUAAAUAAAAAUC